UACGUAGGGCGCAAGCGUUGUCCGGAAUUAUUGGGCGUAAAGAGCGUGUAGGCGGCCAGGUAGGUCUGGUGUGAAAACUCGAGGCUUAACCUUGAGAUGUCAUCGGAAACCAUUUGGCUAGAGUCCGGAAGAGGAAAGUGGAAUUCCUGGUGUAGCGGUGAAAUGCGCAGAUAUCAGGAAGAACACCAAUGGCGAAAGCAGCUUUCUGGGACGGUACUGACGCUGAGACGCGAAAGCGUGGGGAGCGAACAGG
rnacentral:rRNA from 1 species